rnacentral:rRNA from 1 species
AUGGCAAGCCGAGCUCUCCCUCUCCUCCAGCUCACUGCCACCCUCUUGGUGGCGCUACUCGCGACGUGCCAUGCCGGCAGCAUCGCCGUCUACUGGGGCCAGAACGACGGCGAGGCGUCGCUAGCAGAGACGUGCGCCUCUGGGAACUACAAGUUCGUCAUCCUCGCUUUUCUCCCAAAGUUCGGCAAGGGCCAAACGCCACAGCUUGACCUUGCCAGCCACUGCGACCCUUCGUCCGGUGGCUGCAGAGGCCAGAGCAAGGACAUCAAAAUGUGCCAGAGCCGUGGCGUGAAAGUCCUUCUCUCCAUCGGCGGCGGCGAUGGUAGUUAUGGCCUCUCUUCUCCCGGCGACGCACAGCAGGUUGCCUUGUACCUCUGGAACAACUACCUGGGCGGUGCGUCCUCCUCCGGUCCCCUCGGCGACGUCGUGCUGGACGGCAUUGACUUUGACAUCGAGCAAGGCAGCGCCAAGUUCUGGAACGAUCUCGCCACUGACCUAAAGAAUUUGGGAAAGAACGGAGGCAAUACCGUACUGCUGAGCGCGGCACCGCAGUGCCCGUUCCCGGAUGAAUGGGACGGCGGUGCGACCAGCACUGGGCUGUUCGACUAUGUGUGGGUGCAGUUCUACAACAACGAAGAAUGCUAG